GACCCGGGGCGUCAACCUCGGAAUUGCAUUUGUAAACUAGGCAGACUAGAGUACUGUAGAGGGGGGUAGGAAUUUCUAGGUGUAGCGGUGAAAUAGCGUAGAGAUCUGAAGGAAUACCGGUGGCGAAGGCGGCCCCCUCGGACAGAUACUGACACUCAGAUGCGAAAGCGUGGGGAGCAAACAGGAUUAGAUACCCUGGUAG
rnacentral:rRNA from 1 species